AGGCUGCUGGAAAUACUGCAGGACUAGGGAGUGGGAGAGGUAGACGGUACUCGGGAGGAAGUGGUAAAAUGCUUUGAUCUCUCGAUGACCACCUGUGGCGAAGGCGGUCUACCAGAACACGUCCGACGGUGAGGGAUGAAAGCUGGGGGAGCAAACCGGAUUAGAUACCCGGGUAGUCCCAGCUGUAAACUAUGCAAACUCAGUGAUGCACUGGCUUGUGGCCAGUGCAGUGUUGCAGGGAAGCCGUUAAGUUUGCCGCCUGGGAAGUACGUACGCAAGUAUGAAACUUAAAGGAAUUGGCGGGGGAGUACCACAAGGGGUGAAGCCUGCGGUUCAAUUGGAGUCAAGGCCAGAAAUCUUACCCGGAGAGACAGCAGGAUGAAGGUCAAGCUGAAGACUUUACCAGACAAGCUGAGAGGUGGUGCAUGGCCGUCGUCAGCUCGUGCCGUGAGAUGUCCUGUUAAGUCAGGUAACGAGCGAGAUCCCUGCCUCUAGUUGCCACCAUUACUCUCAGGAGUAGUGGGGCGAAUUAGCGGGACCGCCGCAGUUAAUGCGGAGGAAGGAAGGGGCCACGACAGGUC
rnacentral:rRNA from 1 species